GAAUUAUUCGCGUGUUUCUGUAAUUAUUCAUUUCCCCAUUUUUACUUCAAAGCUAGCGAAAUUCAUAAGAUACCGAACUCCAACUAUUUUUAUGUUCCCACAAUUCCCAUUGACAAAAUACACAUAAUAAAAAUAGUCUUAAGAAGCUAAAAACAAAAUCCAGCAGUUGAAAUUACUCUAGUUUUCCAUUGCUUAUUUCCUUUCUCAUUAUUAUCCAAAAUAAUAUAAUUCAGAAAUCCAUUUCAUUUUACUUCUUUUUUUUUUUCACCGC
rnacentral:misc_RNA from 1 species